rnacentral:rRNA from 1 species
GAUGAACGCUGGCGGCGUGCCUAAUACAUGCAAGUCGAGCGAACAGACGAGGAGCUUGCUCCUCUGACGUUAGCGGCGGACGGGUGAGUAACACGUGGAUAACCUACCUAUAAGACUGGGAUAACUUCGGGAAACCGGAGCUAAUACCGGAUAAUAUAUUGAACCGCAUGGUUCAAUAGUGAAAGACGGUUUUGCUGUCACUUAUAGAUGGAUCCGCGCCGCAUUAGCUAGUUGGUAAGGUAACGGCUUACCAAGGCACCGAUGCGUAGCCGACCUGAGAGGGUGAUCGGCCACACUGGAACUGAGACACGGUCCAGACUCCUACGGGAGGCAGCAGUAGGGAAUCUUCCGCAAAGGGCGAAAGCCUGACGGAGCAACGCCGCGUGAGUGAUGAAGGUCUUCGGAUCGUAAAACUCUGUUAUUAGGGAAGAACAAAUGUGUAAGUAACUAUGCACGUCUUGACGGUACCUAAUCAGAAAGCCACGGCUAACUACGUG